CAGCAGCCGCGGUAAUACGUAGGUGGCAAGCGUUGUCCGGAACUAUUGGGCGUAAAGGGCUCGCAGGCGGUUUCUUAAGUCUGAUGUGAAAGCCCCCGGCUCAACCGGGGAGGGUCAUUGGAAACUGGGAAACUUGAGUGCAGAAGAGGAGAGUGGAAUUCCACGUGUAGCGGUGAAAUGCGUAGAGAUGUGGAGGAACACCAGUGGCGAAGGCGACUCUCUGGUCUGUAACUGACGCUGAGGAGCGAAAGCGUGGGGAGCGAACAGGAUUAGAUACCCGUGUAGUCCCUGUCUCUUAUAC
rnacentral:rRNA from 1 species